rnacentral:rRNA from 1 species
UACGAAGGGGGCUAGCGUUGUUCGGAAUUACUGGGCGUAAAGCGCACGUAGGCGGAUACUUAAGUUAGGGGUGAAAUCCCGGGGCUCAACUCCGGAACUGCCUUUAAUACUGGGUAUCUCGAGUUCGAGAGAGGUGAGUGGAAUUCCGAGUGUAGAGGUGAAAUUCGUAGAUAUCGAGAGGAACACCGGUGGCGAAGGCGGCUUCCUGGACAGUUACUGACGCUGAGACGCGAAAGCGUGGGGAGCAAACAGG